AGUGAACGCUGGCGGUAGGCCUAACACAUGCAAGUCGAACGGCAGCACAGUAAGAGCUUGCUCUUACGGGUGGCGAGUGGCGGACGGGUGAGGAGUACAUCGGAAUCUACUUUUUCGUGGGGGAUAACGUAGGGAAACUUACGCUAAUACCGCAUACGACCUACGGGUGAAAGCAGGGGAUCUUCGGACCUUGCGCGAUUGAAUGAGCCGAUGUCGGAUUAGCUAGUUGGCGGGGUAAAGGCCCACCAAGGCGACGAUCCGUAGCUGGUCUGAGAGGAUGAUCAGCCACACUGGAACUGAGACACGGUCCAGACUCCUACGAGAGGCAGCAGUGGGGAAUAUUGGACAAUGGGCGCAAGCCUGAUCCAGCCAUACCGCGUGGGUGAAGAAGGCCUUCGGGUUGUAAAGCCCUUUUGUUGGGAAAGAAAAGCAGCAGGUUAAUACCCCGCUGUUCUGACGGUACCCAAAGAAUAAGCACCGGCUAACUUCGUG
rnacentral:rRNA from 1 species